rnacentral:rRNA from 1 species
GAUGAACGCUGGCGGUAUGCCUAACACAUGCAAGUCGGACGGCAAGUCGUGUUGCGAGUGGUGGACGGGGGAGUAACGCGCAAGAACCUGCGCAAGGGAGGGGAACCACAGCUGGAAAGGGGGGCUAAUACCCCGAAGUUUGAGGAGCAAAAGGUGGAACCUGCCCGAGGAGGCGCUGGCGUCUGAUAAGCUAGGUGGUGAGGCAAGGGCUUACCAAUGCGAGGAGCAGUAGCUGGUCUGAGCGGACGAGCAGCCACGCUGGAACUGAGACACGGCCCAGACUGCGACGGGAGGACGGAGUGGGGAAUUACGGACGACGGGCGCGAGGAUGAUCCCGCAAUGCGGGGUGGGUGAACAAGGCCUUGGCGUGGUAAAGUCGAUUGGCCGGGGGUGGAGAACUGCUGUUCACGGCGAAGAAGUUAUGACGGUAUCUAAAGAAUAAGCACCGGCUAACUCUGUG